UAUAGUGUGUGUGUGUGUGUGUGUGUGUGUGUGUGUGUGUGUGUUUUUAAUACCAAAAGGUGCAUGGAAUCUUUCGGACAAACAGGUGAAACUUUCGAAUUUUAAAAGAAAAAAUGAAAGAAAAACAAGAUUCAAAAUUCCAGAGAGACAAAAGGAAAAGAAAACACAAUAUGAAUAAAGAGAAACAAAGAAAAUUUUAAGGUGAGAUGAAAAGAAGACAUGACAACGCCAGUCUUUCUCCUCCUCCUCCUCCUCCUCCUCCUCCUCCUCCUCCUCCUCCUCCUCCUCCUCGACUUGUGCCUCGUCUCUCUUUAAAGCCGUGUGGGCGACGGACUUGGCGUUGAGAAAAUUAAAGAGAGCCCGUUUUAAUUCACUCACUCACUCACUCACUCACUCACUCACUCACUCACUCACUCACUCACUCACUCACUCACUCACUCUUUCCCAUGCACUCACUUUCAUUCUCUCUCUCUCUCUCUCUCUCUCUCUCUCUCUCUCUCUCUCUCUCUCUCUCUCUCUCUCUCUCUCUCUCAAUCUGUGCAUUUAUAUAUCUACAUUAUAAUUUACUCGCUGAUUUUCUUCAAUCCUUACCAAUCUCAGAGAGAGAGAGAGGAGGGGAAAGGGAGAGAGAGAGGGAGUAUGAGGGAGACUUACCUCAAACAAAUACACCAAUAAGCAAAUAGAAAUAAAAGUGCAUAGAGCAAUAUGAGGAAAUGAUGAAGAUUUUUGUCUCUCGUGCAAGUUUAAUGAAACGCAGAGAGAGAGAGAGAGAGAGAGAGAGAGAGAGAGAGAGAGAGAGAGAGAGAGAGAGAGAAUGAAAUACGUAAAAAAAAAAAAAAAAAGUUAUCUUUGAGGAAAGGAAGCGAAAAAAAAGAGAGAAUAGGAGGAAAUGAAAUCCUCUGAAAUUAGAAGAAGGAAAAUUUAGACCAAGAAAAUUGGACAACUUUAAUCCCUUUCGUAAACACAGAGUCUGGAUGGAAGCACACACACACACACACACACACACACACACACACACACACACACACACACACACGACUCGGAAGAAAUGAGAAGGAAUGGAAUGAGACAAAACACAAAUCACGAAAGAGAGAGAGAGAGAGAGAGAGUGUGUGUGUGUGUGUGUGUGUGUGUGUGUGUGUGUGUGUGUGCGUGUGUGUACGUAAGUAUAUUUGAUAGAAACAAGUGAAUUAUUACAAGAAACACACUGACAAAAAUCAAUUUAAAAAGAAAAACAAAACAAUGAUAAAAAAAAAACAAUACAAAGAAAAGAAAUGAUGAUAACUGACAUCGCAACAAGUGAACGAAAGAAAAUUAAGAAGGAAAAAAAACAUUAAAAUGAAGCACUUUUGACUCUAAAUGAAGUGUUCGAAGCUUCACUAGAAAGAACGAAAAGAAAAAAGAGCUUCAAAGUAAGUUCGUUCGUUCGUUAUGAAGCACAUGCUGGCUGAAAGGGUUUGGAUUGUUUGGGGAUGGGGAGGAAGGGAGCAGGAGAGAGGGAGAGGGAGGGGAGGGAUGGGAGAAGUGGUGGAGCUGCGCGUGAUGAUAAUUGCAGUGAACGUGUAUGACAUCUGUGUGUGUAUGAAAGAGUGUUAAAUAUACUCCUAUUGACGCUGCUUGGUUUGAAUUCCCUUUGCUUGCUUCGAAACGUUCAGGCGAGGCUUCCAAACAGCAGGGCGUGAGGCUUCGGAACAAUGGGUGAGCGGCGAGACUUGGCGGGUGAGACGAGCGAGCGAGAGGCGGCAUCAGGAGGGCAGACUGCUGAUAGAGAAUGAAGCCGAGACUGGGGCGUGUAUGCUGAGGAAACAAGUGCAGCGUGUCCCUGGAGUCUGCGGGAGUGUCUGUUGGGCUGAAGGAGGCCGAGGAGAGCGAGUAUUGCCAAGUGCUAUACAAGAAGCGGUGAAUGCGAAGGAGAGAGGGAGAAACACUGAGGCUGGCCGGCAAUUGAGGCGAACACAUGAACGGAGAGGUAA
rnacentral:lncRNA from 1 species